UUUGAGGAAACCUGGUGUGGCACAAGUU
rnacentral:piRNA from 1 species